AAAUUUUGUGUGUGAAAAUUUGGCGAUGAAAAAUUGGGAUUUUGAUUAAAUUUUCGCAUAGAAAAAUAGAAAUAUGUGUAGAAAACUAUUAUAUUCGGCGAAAGGAACAUACAUGUGUUAAAAAAAAGUGUGAAAUGGUGAAAUGAAGCAUCAAAUCUAACCGAGUGGUUAACUCGACUGCUCCGCCUAGCAUUGUCAGGGGAUUUGGUUCAUAUAACUUUCGGUGUUACAUACAUAUUUUAGUAAUGAGACUCCACUGGCCAUAGAAUUGGGAAGGGGCGCUUGGAACUUGGAAGUGAAUUUUAAUGUGAAAGAAAGCAAAAGUGGUGGAAGCAUAGAAAAAGCAGAAAAAAGACUGGUUAUGCAGCGAAAAGAAGACAACACAAGGCGAAGAGCUUGUGAUAACAACAACAAUAAACACAACGUAAACAAGAACAAAGUUAUGAUUAGGGCGAAUUGAAAUGUUAAAGCACGAUUGAUAAUAGGAAAAGGUGUGAAAGAAAAGCAAACGAAAAAGAUCUUGAAAGAAAAUCGAAAAGACGAGCAGCUGGUGGCUCAGUCUUCACUGCUGCUGCUCUGCUUUUUGAACUGGUUGUUGGAGACUACAACAGCGCUGCUUUGUGUCAUCGUCGACGCACUCACGACCAGCGUUAUUGAACCCAUCCGUAUCGUUGGUUUCUGUUGAGUUGGGCUGUCGCGGUUAUUACUCGCUGCCUGCAAUCCCGUUUGGUCGGUUCUCGUUUUGUUUUGCAUCAACCUUCGUGUUAUUGUCGUCCCUUGCUCAGAGUUUAGGUGGGGGCCAGUCGAAUAACCAAAAAGGAAAUCAAAUACCCCCAACAUUAGUGAAAGGCCGCGCAGACAUCGAGGACGUGCUUGUAAAAUUGCAUCAACAACGGGCUCGCUUAUGGAGCUCAUCGUCUGGGACUUGAAAACAAAAGAAUAGCAAAUAAGUGUAGAAAGACUAAAUAAUUAAUACCGUGGUGGUCUGUCAGUAUCGUCGCCGAAGUUGUACGGGAUUUCUUGUCGGUAAUUAUUUAAAGAAACGGAUUCAACACAAUAUUAUUUGCUUAUUGUAAAAUAAAUGUACAUACAUACAUAAUUAUAAGAAAACUUAACUAAGUGAGUAGAAUUUCGCCUUUACUAAUGGUUUUACGCGAAGACACAUGCGCACACACACAAAAAUGCAUACAUUCAUCAACUAACACAUAAUCGUACGAAAAAGUUAAAUCAUCCGUCGUGUCGCGUACAAAAAAAAAAA